GCAUAACGCGAAGAACCUUACCCACCUUUGACAUGUACGGAAUCCUUUAGAGAUAGAGGAGUGCUCGAAAGAGAGCCGUAACACAGGUGCUGCAUGGCUGUCGUCAGCUCGUGUCGUGAGAUGUUGGGUUAAGUCCCGCAACGAGCGCAACCCUUGUCAUUAGUUGCUACAUUUAGUUGGGCACUCUAAUGAGACUGCCGGUGACAAACCGGAGGAAGGUGGGGAUGACGUCAAGUCCUCAUGGCCCUUAUAGGUGGGGCUACACACGUCAUACAAUGGCUGGUACAAAGGGUUGCCAACCCGCGAGGGGGAGCUAAUCCCACAAAGCCAGUCGUAGUCCGGAUCGUAGUCUGCAACUCGACUACGUGAAGUCGGAAUCGCUAGUAAUCGUGGAUCAGAAUGUCACGGUGAAUACGUUCCCGGGUCUUGUACACACCG
rnacentral:rRNA from 1 species